rnacentral:rRNA from 1 species
UGGGGGAUAUUGCACAAUGGGGGGAACCCUGAUGCAGCGACGCCGCGUGAGUGAAGAAGCAUUUCGGUGCGUAAAGCUCUGUCAGCAGGGAAGAAAGAAGACGGUACCUGACCAAGAAGCCCCGGCUAACUACGUGCCAGCAGCCGCGGUAAUACGUAGGGGGCAAGCGUUAUCCGGAUUUACUGGGUGUAAAGGGAGCGCAGACGGCAAGGCAAGCCUGGAGUGAAAGGCGGGGGCCCAACCCCCGGACUGCUCUGGAAACUGUCAGGCUAGAGUGCUGGAGAGGUAAGUGGAAUUCCUAGUGUAGCGGUGAAAUGCGUAGAUAUUAGGAGGAACACCAGUGGCGAAGGCGGCUUACUGGACGGUAACUGACGUUGAGGCUCGAAAGCGUGGGGAGCAAACAGGAUUAGAUACCC